rnacentral:rRNA from 1 species
GUUGAUCUUGCCAGUAUAAUAUGCUUGUUUCAAAGAUUAAGCCAUGCAAGUGUUAGAACCUCAUCGCAUCUGGUUUACUGGGUGUUGAUUUGGGAAUCUGUGGAUUGCUCAUUAUAAGAGUUAUAUACUCAGCCACUGGUAGUUGUGACGUAAGAAGCAUACAUGGAUAAUGCAGCUAACUGCCGCAAUAAUACAUGAAUUAAAAAGGGAAUCGCCGAUUCUAAGUGGUAAUAAGCGUCGAAUCGCUUUUAUCAGAGCAAUAUUGCUGGCAGCGCAAGUUGUCAGUGAAUUGUGAUUGACCGACUUAAACAAAUAUGGGUUUGAUAAACGGCUUUUAAUAGGGUUGUUGAGUUGAAUUCAGAAAGUUGGCCCAGAGGAAGUGUUUCUUACCUAUCAGUUAGUAGUUUCAGUAAGGGUCAAACUUGACUUUUACGGGUACGGGGAAUUAGUGUUCAAAUCCGGAGAGGGAGCCUGAGAAAUAGCUACCACAUCUAAGGACGGCAGCAGGCACGAAAAUUAUCCACUGCUAAUUCAGCGAGAUAGUGACGAGAAAUAACGACCUUCAAACGAAGGGUACCAGUAAAAUGGUUUGGAAUGGCGGUAGAUCAAAAUUCUAUCAGAGUAACAAUUAGAGGAUUAGUCUGGUGCCAGCACCCGCGGUAAUUCCAGCUCUAAUAGUGUAUUUUAAAGUUGUUGCAGUUAAAACGCUCGUAGUCUAUCUAAAAGUUUACGCACGGUAGCUGGAUCGUCAGCGGCCUUGCUCUUUCUGCUUUACGUCGGUCAAACUGACGGAGGUGGCCGGAGGAAUUAGUGACGGCGGUUCCCUUUAUCAACUGUGAUCAAAUCAGAAAGAUUCAAUUAGGCAAUGAUGUUUGCAAAAACUCGCCCGAAUGGUUCAGCAUAGCACUGAAAUUAAGUCCCUCACGGGACGCAACGAAUGGGAGAUCGGGAAAGGGAACAAGUAUUGUUGCGCUAGAGGUGAAAUUCAGAGAACGUGUCAAGACUAACAGACGCGAAGGCGGAUAUCCCGUCACAUCUCCGUCGAUCAGGAACGAAAGUUGGGGGAGCGAAAAUGAUUAGAUACCGUUGUAGUCCCAACUGUAAACAAUAUUGACAAGAGAUUGGCUAGAAACCUUUUUUCCAGAUCUCCUCAGAA